ensembl:lncRNA
AGGGGUUUGAGUUACUAAUAAUCAACAUUUACCCUGGUAAAAAAAAUAUUUAUUUAUUGUUAUCCAUGUUAUAUUUCAUCUGCAACUGCAAUGUGAACUUUUAUAUCUCCAUUUGGUCAUUAACUUUUAAAUGCAUCAUUAUGCAAAAAAUAUGAGCAGAGUUCUCAGCAUGAAAGACCCGCGACUGGCAGAUCAACUAGCUACUUCUUUUCUCUCCAGUACGGUAGGAAGCUAAAUGAAAUUAAAUGUGAAGGAUGUUAACCGUUACAAGAUGAUUGACAGCAAGAACUUGAAACUGCAUCUUUAGGUCUCUGACCGGACAUCUGUGGUGAACUAGUCCCCCCACUGGCAACCCCAACUGGUUUAGCUGUACCAGUUUUCUUUAUGGUCCUUCGAGCCGGAGCUAGAGUUUUCCACAGUUAUGGAGAUGCAGCCAUCAGAUGAUGUUCCUCUUGAGCGGCCCAGGAGACAAUCAUCUCUGCCUGCACACUUGCAGAAUUAUGAUUUGACUGGUUACAAUCUACAAAGAUCCUUAUCACCCACCUAGCUAUUCCCAUAAAUCCCCCUGUGCUGUGUCACUGUGAGGAUGUCAAGACAUCCAUCUUGACAUCCUCAUGCUGUGAGAAUGUCAAGAUGGACACCCCACAUGUAGCAGCACAUCAUAGUGAUUAUCACAGUCCUCAACAGUGGUAUAUAGCAGAUCGAUGGGAUCAGCAGGUGGAAACCUUGAGAGAAAAAAAUGCUGAUCUAAGGAGACAACAAAGGGGCCUGAUUACUACAGUUCAGCAGCUGAAGGAGGAAAGAGAUGAUCUUAAGCAGGCCAACGCCAAGUUUACAUCUCAGAUCUCUCAACUACAAGUGGAGGUGAAACAAUUGUUAAGUUGGCAGAAUCAGUCACAGCCUCCUCUGGCAUUGUCUACCUUUCCUGUACCUUGUCAGUCCAAAGCCCUAGACCGCCCUAAACCAGUUCCAGCUACAAGAAAGCCAAGAGUAGCUGAACCUGUAGCAAAUUCAAACUAUGCCCAAGCCUCUCACAAUGCAUCACAAGAUAGUAGUUCAGCAGAAAGUGUGGAGAGCUAUGAGGGUUUAAGCAGUCAAGAAAGUUUGUCCUCUUCUGUUGAGGGCAUGAGAAAUCUGUCCCUGAGCUCAUCCAGGCAAAAGAAAGUUAAUACCAGUCCAGCAAUUGUUAGACAAAUUUGUCAGAGAAAGAGUGGAGGAACUCAAGCCAAGAAUGUAAGAAGUUAUGUUCGCUCUCCAUCUCCACAAUAUUCUUCCAGACGGCACAGCUUGUCUUCUAGGAGCAAGAGACGGCACCACCACUCUCCGAGUCCAACUUCUGACCAGGAAAGAGUAUAUCGUGGCCCUACUCCUACAAUUCCUGACCUGAUUUACCGAAACCCCAGAGAGUUUGCACUGCUUAUGAUUGCUUUAGAAAACAUUCUUCCAGCUGAUGCUACAGAACGCUUUAAAUUUCAUAUCCUGCUAGAACAUCUCAAGGUUGAAGAGGCUCAGUUAAUUGCUGAAUCUUACAGCAGUUCACGUCAUCCUUAUACCAACACUACGGAUGCCCUCAAUCAACAGUAUGGCCAGCCACAUCAGUCAGCGCUGCAGCGCAUAGUGGAAUUGAUGGAUGGGCCCAGCAUCAGCACUGGAGAUAUUAAAACUUUUCGAAUGUAUGCUCUGAGGGUGAGAUCUUUGGUGGGAAUGCUGAGACAACUAGGUAAGCCUGGCAUGGUGGAAUUAAGAUGUGGCUCGCAUGUGUCCAGACUUCUGAGUAAGUUGCCACAUGAUCUGCGUAGCAGUUUCAGAAGAUUUAUUUAUCCAUUAGACGUGAAGAUUCCUACCCUCCUUAACUUGAAAUCAUUCAACAAAGGGACAGAAGUUCUGCUUGGCACAGAGAAAUUCCCUUCAUCACCACCACAUUCCUCAGCUGUCACAGCUAAGAUCACAAAGGGGAAAGCUUACUGGCCUUAUUGUGAUAACAACAAACACACUUUGAAUAACUGUGUAAAUUUCUCUCAACUUUCCAAAUCUCAGAGGCAGAAUUGGAUCAAGGGGCACAACCGAUGCUGGCGCUGUGGACGGGGCCAUAGAUCAUCAGAGUGUAACCUUAAAAUGCGCUGCAAAACAUGCAAUGGUCGUCACUUGCUUGUUCUUCAUGAUGUUAAUGCAUGGAACAAGGAGAAAGUAGUGGAAGGAGAAGAUCCAUGUACUAGCCCUGUCUUGGGGGAGGCUGCCAACGAGGUGUUAUUCAUUGACAAGCCCCCAGGAAGUCGUAAGGUACUGUUAAAGAUAUGUAAAGUGAUUCUAAGAAAUGGAGAUCAAUCGAUGAAUGCUUAUGCCAUUCUGGAUGAUGGCUCCGAAAGAACCAUCUUGUUAAAUACUGCAGCAACCCAGCUGAAACUGAAAGGUAAGCCAGAGGACUUGCCCCUGCGCACCGUCAGACAAGAAUUAAAGGUCCUGCAUGGGGCGGCUGUUUCCUUUAACCUUUCACCAGCCUGCCAGCCAAACAAGAUAUAUCAGAUCAAUGGAGCAUUCACUGCAGCAGAGUUGGGGCUUGGAGUGCACUGUUAUCCUGUCAAGGCUUUACGGAAAAGGUACCGUCAUCUUAAAGGACUUCCCCUCCGAGAAAUUAAAGCUGCUCAUCCAGUUUUGCUCAUAGGAUCUGACUGCCCUCAUUUAAUUACCCCAGUUGAGCCAGUUCGCUUGGGUCCACCAGGGGGUCCUGCUGCAAUUAGAACUCUCCUUGGAUGGACUAUGCAAGGACCAGUUCAAGCGUUGCAACAUCUUCUUACAGAGCAACAAUGUCUGUUCACAACAAGUUGGUCACCCUCUGCUAUGUUACAUGAACAAGUUGAAAGACUCUGGCAACUGGAUGUCCUUCCUUGGAGAGAUGAGAAAAUGAAUACUCGAUCAGUACAAGACCAGCAGUCAAUGAAACUACUGGAACAAAGAACUUCUAGAGUUGAUGUUGAUGGGAUUCAGCGAUAUGCUACCCCACUGCUAAGAGUCCAAAAUAUGCCCCCUCUUUGGGCACCUAAAGCAGCAGUAAUGCCUCAGUUAAGAAGUCUAGAGCAUCGUCUCAGUAAGUCCCCUGACCAAGCAGCUAUCUACCAGGCUGAGAUUAAAAGACUGGAGCAGGCAGGCUAUAUUGCUGAAUUGCAGUCAGGAGCAGAAGACACUCAAAUGAGUUGGUAUAUCCCACAUCACAUGGUUGAACAUAAUGGAAAACAUUGAGUGGUUUUCAACUGUUCAUUCCAGUUUCAAGGGAACAAUCUCAAUGAAUUGUUACUUCCAGGGCCAACAUUGACUUCUUCAUUACUGGCUGUGCUACUAAGAUUCCGGGAACACUCAAUCGCUAUCAGUAGUGACAUUAAAGGAAUGUUCCACCAGGUUAGACUCCUUCCUGAAGAUCGGCCCCUUCUCCGUUUCUUAUGGAGAGAUCUACGAAGAGAAGUGGAGCCUAGAAUCUAUGAAUGGCAAGUUCUUCCCUUUGGGACCACUAGUAGCCCAUGUUGUGCUGUUUUUGCCUUGCAGAAGCACAUCCUGGAGAAUAGUCAGCCUGGUGAAAAGAUACUUGAUGCCGUACUGAAGACGUUUUAUGUUGACAAUUAUCUUCAAAGUCUGCCUUCUGUAGAUGAAGCAAGGCUCAUGGUAGACCAGCUGCAAAGUGUUUUAGCAAGAGGAGGAUUUGAACUCAGGCAAUGGGCCAGCAAUACACCCUCAACCAUUAGUCAUCUACCAGUGGCAUCCAGAUCUGACAGUGCCGAGCAAUGGAUUGCAAAGGGUAAUGCCCUCAACCAUGAAUCAGUGCUUGGACUUCAGUGGAACUGUGAAACU